rnacentral:tRNA from 1 species
AAAAAUUUAGUUAAAUUCAUAACAUUAGUUUGUCAAACUAAAAUAAUUUCCUUAAGAAAUAAUUUUUA